UAACACGUGGGCAAUCUGCCCUGCACUCUGGGACAAGCCCUGGAAACGGGGUCUAAUACCGGAUACUGAUCAUCUUGGGCAUCCUGGAUGAUCGAAAGCUCCGGCGGUGCAGGAUGAGCCCGCGGCCUAUCAGCUUGUUGGUGAGGUAACGGCUCACCAAGGCGACGACGGGUAGCCGGCCUGAGAGGGCGACCGGCCACACUGGGACUGAGACACGGCCCAGACUCCUACGGGAGGCAGCAGUGGGGAAUAUUGCACAAUGGGCGCAAGCCUGAUGCAGCGACGCCGCGUGAGGGAUGACGGCCUUCGGGUUGUAAACCUCUUUCAGCAGGGAAGAAGCGCAAGUGACGGUACCUGCAGAAGAAGCGCCGGCUAACUACGUGCCAGCAGCCGCGGUAAUACGUAGGGCGCGAGCGUUGUCCGGAAUUAUUGGGCGUAAAGAGCUCGUAGGCGGCUUGUCGCGUCGGUUGUGAAAGCCCGGGGCUUAACCCCGGGUCUGCAGUCGAUACGGGCAGGCUAGAGUUCGGUAGGGGAGAUCGGAAUUCCUGGUGUAGCGGUGAAAUGCGCAGAUGUCAUGAGGAACACCGGUGGGAAUGCGGAUCUCUGAGCCGAUACUGACGCUGAGGAGCGAAAGCGUGGGGAGCGAACAGGAUUACAUACCCUGGUAGCCACGCCGUAAACGAUGAGCACUAAUGUGGGGAACGUUCCACUUUGUCCGUACCGCAGCUAACACAUUAGGUGCCCCGCCUGGAUAGUACGACGCACAAUGCUAAAACUU
rnacentral:rRNA from 1 species